GUUAAAUCAUAGUUCAAUGUUACAGUUCCAAGUCAGAAAUAUCUGUUAGCCUUCCUCUGACUUGUAAACCAUCUUGGAUUUGAUAUUAGUUGUGUUUUCGAUAUGCUGUCAAGUCAUGCAGUUAUAGGUAGCUGAGCCUAUUAUUACUUUGUUUAUCAGUAUAUUAAUUCCCAUUGUUAUCAAUGUUUGGGAAAUAAAGCAAAUUUUCUACCCCUAGCAAUUAAGGGAGUUAUAGUUCGUUGUAUUGAUUCUUGGAAUUUCAAGAAGAAACAAGAAGAUAAAGAAAGGAAGAAGAUAGAAAAGAAGAAGAAAAAUAGAAGAAUAGAUUCAAGAUGGGAGAAGAAGAAGAAUUAGGAUUUUGCCAAGAAGAGAGAAGAAAUAGAGCUUUGAUACAGAGAAGAUAAGAAACAGAAGUUGUACUGUGCUCAAACCACUCUGAGAGGAAAAAAGCUUUGGAUUGCUCAACAGAUUACUUGUACUGUUAAUAUUUAUCACAUUCAGAACUGAUUGUUGAGCUCUUAGUAAUUACUAAUUACUAUGAUUAUAACUCUUUUCUGAGCAAGAUUGUUGCUUAGGCUAAACCAAUCAUUGGUACUAGGAAAGAGUACAAGAUCUAUAGUGAACAGACACAUUAGAUAUAUGUAUAGGCAACGUCUCCAAGUUUUAAUUGUAUGGAAAUGUUUUUAUUGGGUUGUAUUGGGCCUAUUUUUCAUUCAUUUAAAAGACUUGUCCAAUUGCAGUUUUUUGUUUGUGC
rnacentral:misc_RNA from 1 species